CAGAGGAAAGCACCAGUUUUGAUGCAGGGGUUGUUCCAUCGGUAUCCUUCGUGCCUAAUCGUCUCAGAACUGACCAACAGCUGAAAUAAACGUCCGCCAACUGCAGUUACUGUCGCAGAACAACAACAGAAGGCCUCCUUCACCAGCUCCUUGGAACUGGACUGAGUGGUGGCCAGCACGCUCUUAUAGUGAGUCCCCUGGCAGAUGUCACUGCCGAAGAUCUUCAGGAUGCCGGGGACGGACACCUGACUGGACAGCUCUGCUGGGUCAUCUGCUGCCUGCAGAUCACCAGCAAGGCUGCCCCCGCCCGUUGCGGGGCCGCGACGGCUGCUGUCCCGCAGGUUUGGACUGUGGUUAAAAACACUGGAGAGCCUGUUGUUGUGGCGGCGGAUUUUACUUUUGGCUGGCUGGCGAACCCCGGCGGUGUCUGAGGAGCGGACGAUGCUGUCCGAGUUACUGGACCUGAGGAGGAGCAGAGGAGGAGACAUGAAGACAGACUUUCACAUACAUGAUGGUGUAAUCAUGCGCUAACCAGGAGUGGCUUUUUUAGAUCUAGACAGGACUUAAACUUCUAAAUGAGUCAGUCACA